rnacentral:lncRNA from 1 species
CUUUCAGUACGAAAAGUAUUAACGGUAAACAUAUACUAUGUAGCCUUUUAUUUUGAGAAAAGAACACAUAUUUUGCUCAUGAACAAUUUCUGGAGUUCACCAGAGGCAGUCACAGGGACAAAGUAUUCCCAUGAAACAUCUGAAACAUCACACCGGCAACAUCUCUUAUAUCCGCUUCAUACCCUGGCCUCCUUGCAACGAUGUUCCAGGCAUGUCUUGAUCCAAACACUUCCUGCUUUA